GACGAACGCUGGCGGCGUGCUUAACACAUGCAAGUCGAACGGAAAGGCCCUGCUUUUGUGGGGUGCUCGAGUGGCGAACGGGUGAGUAACACGUGAGUAACCUGCCCUUGACUUUGGGAUAACUUCAGGAAACUGGGGCUAAUACCGGAUAGGAGCUCCUGCCGCAUGGUGGGGGUUGGAAAGUUUCGGCGGCUGGGGAUGGACUCGCGGCUUAUCAGCUUGUUGGUGGGGUAGUGGCUUACCAAGGCUUUGACGGGUAGCCGGCCUGAGAGGGUGACCGGCCACAUUGGGACUGAGAUACGGCCCAGACUCCUACGGGAGGCAGCAGUGGGGAAUAUUGCACAAUGGGCGGAAGCCUGAUGCAGCAACGCCGCGUGCGGGAUGACGGCCUUCGGGUUGUAAACCGCUUUCGCCUGUGACGAAGCGUGAGUGACGGUAAUGGGUAAAGAAGCACCGGCUAACUACGUG
rnacentral:rRNA from 1 species